GGUGGCUCAGUGGUAGAGCGCUUGUCUUUCAUGCCUGAGGCCCUGGGUUCAAUUCCUCAGCACCA
rfam:Dipodomys ordii ctg_broad_rename0000619, whole genome shotgun sequence.